CUACGGGAGGCAGCAGUGGGGAAUAUUGGACAAUGGGGGAAACCCUGAUCCAGCAAUGCCGCGUGUGUGAAGAAGGCCUGCGGGUUGUAAAGCACUUUCGGUUGGGAGGACUGCUUCUAGCACUAAUAUUGUUGGAAGUUGACGUUACCUUCAGAAGAAGCACCUGCUAGCUCCGUGCCAGCAGCCGCGGUAAUACGGGGGUGCAAGCGUUAAUCGGAAUUACUGGGCGUAAAGCGCGCGUAGGCGGCUAGAUCAGUCGGGUGUGAAAGCCCAGGGCGUAACCUGGGAACUGCAUCCGAUACUGUCUAGCUUGAGUACAGGAGAGGGGAGUGGAAUUCCACAUGUAGCGGUGAAAUGCGUAGAUAUGUGGAGGAACACCAAUGGCGAAGGCAGCUCUCUGGCCUGAUACUGACGCUGAGGCGCGAAAGCGUGGGGAGCAAACAGGAUUAGAUACCCUCGUAGUC
rnacentral:rRNA from 1 species